rnacentral:lncRNA from 1 species
AUAGAAAUUUACCCUAAGAAACUAAGUUAGGACCUAAGUUAAAUAUAAAAAGUCCUAAGGUUUCUACAAAACAGAAUAAACUGUUUUGUAUUAACCAACAGGGGUUUUAUAUGCAAAAGUUCCAAUUAAUUUGUUAGUUGGACCUAAAGCAUAAUACAAAUAAUAAAAGGGUUCUAAAUUACUACUGUAAUGUUUUUACAGAGGUCUUGAGUAUAAAAGUUCCAAUUG